AUACGGAGGAUCCGAGCGUUAUCCGGAUUUAUUGGGUUUAAAGGGUGCGUAGGCGGCCUUUUAAGUCAGCGGUGAAAGUCUGUGGCUCAACCAUGGAAUUGCCGUUGAAACUGGGGGGCUUGAGUAUGUUUGAGGCAGGCGGAAUUCGAUGUGUCGCGGUGAAAUGCAUGGAUAUAUCGAAGAACCCCGAUUGCGAAGGCAGCCUGCCAAGCCAUGACUGACGCUGAUGCACGAAAGCGUGGGGAUCAAACAGGAUUAGAUACCCUGGUAGUCCACGCAGUAAACGAUGAUCACUAGCUGUUUGCGAUACACUGUAAGCGGCACAGCGAAAGCGUUAAGUGAUCCACCUGGGGAGUACGCCGGCAACGGUGAAACUCAAAUGAAUUGACGGGG
rnacentral:rRNA from 1 species